GUGGAAACUGUGCACACAUGCCCCUGGAUAGAGAAAAUAUAUGUUGUCGGGAAAUACCUCAGGUCAUGAGAAGAAUGGACCAGGUUUCUUAAGCAAUGAACUGUAUGAUUGACCAUCCUGGCCUCGAUCCGGUGUGCCUCAAUAUGUAUUCCUUGCAAAAUUCAAUGAAUAUUACAGGGUUGACCAUGGCCGGUUGAGAAUAAGAGGGAUGGAAAGGCAAUGCAGACACUUGUCCUACAGGACUUUUGUGAGCUGGUGCUGGGGUUUUCUUGGAAGAAGUGUCCGUGUUGUCAUCCCCUCUUGUGUGGUGCUGCGCAUACGGAGGGAGUUUCCUGAUGCUUCAGGGCAGUACGUUGGGUUCAGACCCCCCCUUGACUGAACCGUGACAAAUGUUGAGCAACAGCAUCCUCCAUGGAAGGCCUGUCGAGCUGAACACACAGGGGCUUGGGCACAGGAAUCAGCUGGACGGCAGCCACAUAAGGAAGGGGAUCAUCGAUGAUCUCUUCCAACACAAGUUGCAUCAGGUUGAA